rnacentral:tRNA from 1 species
GAGGGCAUAGCUCAGUGGUAGAGUGUGUGCUUAGCAUGCUCAAGGUCCUGGGUUUAAUCCCUAGUACCUCCA